ACAGCCCUAGUUCCCUCUCCAGAACCGAGCGAGAUUCAUCUUUCCUGGGCCCAAAGGGAGCGACACAUCUCCAAGUGCCUUGCACUUGCCAGCAGCUACAGCGGCCGAAGGAAGGUGGUUCCCACUCCCCAGGAGCCACGGGUCUUGGGCGUCCAACAGGGGAACUGUGUGGACAGGGCGGACCGGGACCGCAGUGAGCUGCAAAACCACUGUGCACGCGGGGUCCUACAGUACCAGCCUGGUUAACCAGCCUUCUCCCAGCGGGCGAGGCUCCGAAGGACCCCACGGAGUCGCAACCGGGGCCUCAGGGAUUGGACAGCCUCCAGCCACGUGACCAGCCCAGGUUCCUACAGUAGAGUUUGGUGUGCUUGGUCACCUUCAAAUGCCUGAUGUGACACGAAGCUUAAUUCUGCUAAGCAGUGCUGACAGUAACCAGGUAACACACUGAAGACAUUGAACCAAAGGAAUGACAUCAGAGCAGUGUAGUUUUAAGGUCAUUCGGAACAAGAGGGAAGUGCUUCUUUGAAACUUCUGAUGGAGAAAAAAGAGUUGCUAACCCAGCAGGGAGAGAAAAAAAAAGACCAAGAAGGAAAUAUGCAGAUGCUGAUUUAGCCAUGAGAUAAGACAGAACUGUGUGAAAUCUCUGCCUUUGAGGCAAGUUCCUUCUUUGACACCAAGACUCCAGCCUAUUCUCACCCCCAGCAUGGAAUUCCUGAGACUUUCCUCCAGUCCUUAGGAGAUUUGCGAAUCUUCAAGAUUAUGGUUUCCUUGGCAAGAAGCAAGGCCAACAUCAGUGCUGCCCCACAGUUCCCAUGUGGAACCGCAACAAGAACAACAACCAAUAUUUGCUUUCAGUUGGGAACUGGGCAUAGACUGAAGCUGACCCGUGCCUGGCAGUGCUCGGCCGUGCCCCUCUUCGCAGCUUCACUGUCUUCCUGGUGCUGAAUUUUCCACCCACACCGGGCACCGCGUGAUGCUCAUACUGAGCAGCGACAUCCACAGAUACUUCUGGAAAUGGCUCAGAUUCCAGGUGGUUGUAAAUUAUGAACUGCAGUGUUUUUUCUGCGCACACAGUCUUAACCUUACAGAAACGUAAUGGAAAGCAUAAUUCCAUAUUUUCUUCCUGUUAUUCUUCAGCGUGUAAAUACCUAGUUACUAUGUCUAUGGAUUGUCUUAUGUUGGAACGUUUGAGUUUUAAAAUUACUGUUUGCUAACUUGAGGCUCACAAAAGCUGUUAAAUGAAGAUAAAUCAGGAUCGGAACAGAAUUUCUGCAAUGGCCCUGAACAGUUUGUUUGGUUUUUUUUUUCCAUUUUGUACUAUGAAUUUAUGUGAAGUGGUGUUUCUCAGCAGUGAUGAUUAUGAAAUAAAAGCAUUUGGAAAGCAUUGA